rnacentral:rRNA from 1 species
AUGUCUUCUUCCAAUUCUUCAAACUCAAGGGCGUCUUCUUCCUCAAGGCGUGCCCACGCUGCUAGCCUAAGGUCUCCGGUGAGGUACAGGGUUGGCCCGAUGGACUACCAGCCACCUGUGCCUUGCAGGUGUAAGCUUAAGCCGAAAGCGGCCAUGUGGAUUUCCUGGAGCGACGACAAUCCAGGGAGGAGGUACUACACGUGCGCCAGGGCAAGGAUGGGGGGUGCGAGUUCUUUGAUUGGCACGAUGAUCCUAUUGAAGAUGAAUACCUGA